AAUGAUUAAAUUAGUAAUAAAAAUGUAAAAUAUAAAGUUAUAUAUAUAUAUAAUAAUAAGGAAUUCGGCAAAAUAAUUAUAUUCACCUGUUUAUCAAAAACAUGUCUUUUUGAAUUUAAUUUAAAGUCAGUUCUGCUCAAUGAGGAAUUAAAUAGCUGCAGUAUUUUGACUGUACAAAGGUAGCAUAAUCAUUUGUCUUUUAAUUAAGGUCUAGAAUGAAGGAAUUAAUGAAAUAUAAACUGUCUUAUUUAUAUAAAAUAAAUUUAAAUUUUAAGUUAAAAUGCUUAAAUUUAUUUAAGGGACGAUAAGACCCUAUAGAAUUUUAUAUAUAUUAUAAUUUAAAUUAAAUUAUAAGUUAUAUUUAAUUGGGAGGAUUUUUAAAUUUAAUAAACUUUAAAAUUUUAAAAUAUAAAUAAAUAGAAUAAUUUGAUAUAUAAUUUAUAAAUAAAGAAUAAAUUACCUUAGGGAUAACAGCGUAAUAUUUUUGGAAAGAUCAUAUUGAAAAGAAUGUUUGCGACCUCGAUGUUGAAUUAAAGUAAAUUAUAAAUGUAGAAGUUUAUAAAUUAGGUCUGUUCGACCUUUAAAAUUUUACAUGAUUUGAGUUCAAAUCGACGUGAGUCAGAUUGGUUUCUAUCUUUAAAAAAAUAAAAGAAUUUUGUACGAAAGGACU
rnacentral:rRNA from 1 species